UCCUUACGGGAGGCAGCAGUGGGGAAUAUUGCACAAUGGGCGCAAGCCUAAUGCAGCCAUGCCGCGUGUAUGAAGAAGGCCUUCGGUUUGUAAAGUACUUUCAGCGGGGAGGAAGGGAGUAAAGUAAUACCUUGCUCAUGACGUACCUGCAGAGAGCCCG
rnacentral:rRNA from 1 species